rnacentral:misc_RNA from 1 species
AAUGCGCUAAGUAAUGUGAAUUGCAGAAUUCAGUGAAUCAUCGAAUCUUUGAACGCACAUUGCGCCCGCUAGCACUCUGGCGGGCAUGCCUGUUCGAGCGUCAUUUCAACCCUCAGAACCCCUUGCGGGAUCUGGCGUUGGGGAUUGGCAUCCAGCCAGCCCCGAAAUCUAGUGGCGGUCCCUCCGCGACCUCCCCUGUGCAGUAGCGAUACCUCGCAGCGGGACAGCGGUCUGACCACGCCGUAAAACCCCCAACUUCUCAAGGUUGACCUCGAAUCAGGUAGGAAUACCCGCUGAACUUAAGC